UACGGAGGGAGCUAGCGUUGUUCGGAAUUACUGGGCGUAAAGCGCACGUAGGCGGCUUUUUAAGUCAGGGGUGAAAUCCCAUGGCUCAACCAUGGAAGUGCACCCGAAACUGCGUAGCUAGAGUCCUGGAGAGGAAGGUGGAAUGCUUGGUGUAGAGGUGAAAUUCGUAGAUAUCAAGUGGAACACCGGUGGCGAAGGCGGCCUUCUGGACAGUGACUGACGCAUGAGACG
rnacentral:rRNA from 1 species